rnacentral:rRNA from 1 species
GGAUCAGAUUGUCGGUCGUGCCUCGGUACGUACUGGCAUUAUUGGUUCCUACCUUCUGAAGAACCGCGAUGUCAUUAAUUUGGUGUCGUGGGGAAUCAGGACUGUUACUUUGAAAAAAUUAGAGUGUUUAAAGCAGGCGCACGCUUGAAUACAUUAGCAUGGAAUAAUGAAAUAGGACGUUUGAUUCUAUUUUGUUGGUUUCUAGGAUUGACGUA